rnacentral:rRNA from 1 species
GCAUUAGCUGGUUGGUGAGGUAACGGCUCACCAAGGCGACGAUGCGUAGCCGACCUGAGAGGGUGACCGGCCACACUGGGACUGAGACACGGCCCAGACUCCUACGGGAGGCAGCAGUAGGGAAUUUUCGGCAAUGGGGGGAACCCUGACCGAGCAACGCCGCGUGAAGGAAGAAGGAAUUCGUUCUGUAAACUUCUGUUAUAAAGGAAGAAAGACGGAUGGAGGAAAUGACAUCCGAGUGACGGUACUUUAUGAGAAAGCCACGGCUAACUACGUGCCAGCAGCCGCGGUAAUACGUAGGUGGCAAGCGUUAUCCGGAAUUAUUGGGCGUAAAGAGGGAGCAGGCGGCAGCAAAGGUCUGUGGUGAAAGACUGAAGCUUAACUUCAGUAAGCCAUAGAAACCGGGCAGCUAGAGUGCAGGAGAGGAUCGUGGAAUUCCAUGUGUAGCGGUGAAAUGCGUAGAUAUAUGGAGGAACACCAGUGGCGAAGGCGACGAUCUGGCCUGCAACUGACGCUCAGUCCCGAAAGCGUGGGGAGCAAAUAGGAUUAGAUACCCUAGUAGUCCACGCCGUAAACGAUGAGUACUAAGUGUUGGA